UCGGGAAUUUUGGGCAAUGGGGGAAACCCUGACCCAGCAACGCCGCGUGAAGGAUGAAGUAUUUCGGUAUGUAAACUUCGAAAGAAUAGGAAGAAUAAAUGACGGUACUAUUUAUAAGGUCCGGCUAACUACGUGCCAGCAGCCGCGGUAAUACGUAGGGACCAAGCGUUGUUCGGAUUUACUGGGCGUAAAGGGCGCGUAGGCGGCAUGACAAGUCACUUGUGAAAUCUCUGGGCUUAACCCAGAACGGCCAAGUGAUACUGUCGCGCUAGAGUGCAGAAGGGGCAAUCGGAAUUCUUGGUGUAGCGGUGAAAUGCGUAGAUAUCAAGAGGAACACCUGAGGUGAAGACGGGUUGCUGGGCUGACACUGACGCUGAGGCGCGAAAGCCAGGGGAGCAAACAGGAUUAGAUACCCCCGUAGUCCCUGAGCGGGCUGGCAAGGCGCAU
rnacentral:rRNA from 1 species